rnacentral:rRNA from 1 species
AACUCUGGUAUUGAUUGGUGCUUGCAUCAUGAUUUACAUUUGAGUGAGUGGCGAACUGGUGAGUAACACGUGGGAAACCUGCCCAGAAGCGGGGGAUAACACCUGGAAACAGAUGCUAAUACCGCAUAACAACUUGGACCGCAUGGUCCGAGUUUGAAAGAUGGCUUCGGCUAUCACUUUUGGAUGGUCCCGCGGCGUAUUAGCUAGAUGGUGGGGUAACGGCUCACCAUGGCAAUGAUACGUAGCCGACCUGAGAGGGUAAUCGGCCACAUUGGGACUGAGACACGGCCCAAACUCCUACGGGAGGCAGCAGUAGGGAAUCUUCCACAAUGGACGAAAGUCUGAUGGAGCAACGCCGCGUGAGUGAAGAAGGGUUUCGGCUCGUAAAACUCUGUUGUUAAAGAAGAACAUAUCUGAGAGUAACUGUUCAGGUAUUGACGGUAUUUAACCAGAAAGCCACGGCUAACUACGUGCCAGCAGCCGCGGUAAUACGUAGGUGGCAAGCGUUGUCCGGAUUUAUUGGGCGUAAAGCGAGCGCAGGCGGUUUUUUAAGUCUGAUGUGAAAGCCUUCGGCUCAACCGAAGAAGUGCAUCGGAAACUGGGAAACUUGAGUGCAGAAGAGGACAAUGGAACUCCAUGUGUAGCGGUGAAAUGCGUAGAUAUAUGGAAGAACACCAGUGGCGAAGGCGGCUGUCUGGUCUGUAACUGACGCUGAGGCUCGAAAGUAUGGGUAGCAAACAGGAUUAGAUACCCUGGUAGUCCAUACCGUAAACGAUGAAUGCUAAGUGUUGGAGGGUUUCCGCCCUUCAGUGCUGCAGCUAACGCAUUAAGCAUUCCGCCUGGGGAGUACGGCCGCAAGGCUGAAACUCAAAGGAAUUGACGGGGGCCCGCACAAGCGGUGGAGCAUGUGGUUUAAUUCGAAGCUACGCGAAGAACCUUACCAGGUCUUGACAUACUAUGCAAAUCUAAGAGAUUAGACCUUCCCUUCGGGGACAUGGAUACAGGUGGUGCAUGGUUGUCGUCAGCUCGUGUCGUGAGAUGUUGGGUUAAGUCCCGCAACGAGCGCAACCCUUAUUAUCAGUUGCCAGCAUUAAGUUGGGCACUCUGGUGAGACUGCCGGUGACAAACCGGAGGAAGGUGGGGAUGACGUCAAAUCAUCAUGCCCCUUAUGACCUGGGCUACACACGUGCUACAAUGGAUGGUACAACGAGUUGCGAACUCGCGAGAGUAAGCUAAUCUCUUAAAGCCAUUCUCAGUUCGGAUUGUAGGCUGCAACUCGCCUACAUGAAGUCGGAAUCGCUAGUAAUCGCGGAUCAGCAUGCCGCGGUGAAUACGUUCCCGGGCCUUGUACACACCGCCCAUCACACCAUGAGAGUUUGUAACACCCAAAGUCGGU